rnacentral:rRNA from 1 species
GAUGAACGCUGGCGGCGUGCCUAAUACAUGCAAGUCGAGCGAACGGACGAGAAGCUUGCUUCUCUGAUGUUAGCGGCGGACGGGCGAGUAACACGUGGAUAACCUACCUAUAAGACUGGGAUAACUUCGGGAAACCGGAGCUAAUACCGGAUAAUAUUUUGAACCGCAUGGUUCAAAAGUGAAAGACGGUCUUGCUGUCACUUAUAGAUGGAUCCGCGCUGCAUUAGCUAGUUGGUAAGGUAACGGCUUACCAAGGCAACGAUGCAUAGCCGACCUGAGAGGGUGAUCGGCCACACUGGAACUGAUACACGUUCCAGACUCCUACGGGAGGCAGCAGUAGGGAAUCUUCCGCAAUGGGCGAAAGCCUGACGGAGCAACGCCGCGUGAGUGAUGAAGGUCUUCGGAUCGUAAAACUCUGUUAUUAGGGAAGAACAUAUGUGUAAGUAACUGUGCACAUCUUGACGGUACCUAAUCAGAAAGCCACGGCUAACUACGUG